ACGGGUGAGUAAUGCCUAGGAAUCUGCCUGGUAGUGGGGGACAACGUUUCGAAAGGAACGCUAAUACCGCAUACGUCCUACGGGAGAAAGCAGGGGACCUUCGGGCCUUGCGCUAUCAGAUGAGCCUAGGUCGGAUUAGCUAGUUGGUGAGGUAAUGGCUCACCAAGGCGACGAUCCGUAACUGGUCUGAGAGGAUGAUCAGUCACACUGGAACUGAGACACGGUCCAGACUCCUACGGGAGGCAGCAGUGGGGAAUAUUGGACAAUGGGCGAAAGCCUGAUCCAGCCAUGCCGCGUGUGUGAAGAAGGUCUUCGGAUUGUAAAGCACUUUAAGUUGGGAGGAAGGGCAGUAAGCGAAUACCUUGCUGUUUUGACGUUACCGACAGAAUAAGCACCGGCUAACUCUGUGCCAGCAGCCGCGGUAAUACAGAGGGUGCAAGCGUUAAUCGGAAUUACUGGGCGUAAAGCGCGCGUAGGUGGUUUGUUAAGUUGGAUGUGAAAGCCCCGGGCUCAACCUGGGAACUGCAUUCAAAACUGACAAGCUAGAGUAUGGUAGAGGGUGGUGGAAUUUCCUGUGUAGCGGUG
rnacentral:rRNA from 5 species